rnacentral:tRNA from 1 species
GUUCUCGUAGCUCAACGGAUAGAGCGCAGCCCUGCGAAGGCUGAAAUGCAGGUUCGAUUCCUGCCGGGAGCA